UGCUAUCGGGGUUCGAUUAAGCCAUGCGAGUCGAGAGGUGAAAGACCUCGGCAUACUGCUCAGUAACACGUGGACAAUCUACCCUAAGGAGGGGGAUAACCCCGGGAAACUGGGGAUAAUACCCCAUAGGUUACAGAUGCUGGAAUGCACUGUAGCUCAAAGGUCCGCCGCCUUAGGAUGAGUCUGCGGCCGAUUAGGUUGUUGUUGGGGUAACGGCCCAACAAGCCUUUGAUCGGUACGGGUUGUGAGAGCAAGAGCCCGGAGAUGGAUUCUGAGACACGAAUCCAGGCCCUACGGGGCGCAGCAGGCGCGAAAACUUUACAAUGCGGGAAACCGUGAUAAGGGAACCCCGAGUGCCCGUAAAUUCGGGCUGUCCACCAGUGCAAAUAACUGGUGAAGAAAGGGCCGGGCAAGACCGGUGCCAGCCGCCGCGGUAAUACCGGCGGCUCGAGUGGUGGCCACUAUUACUGGGCUUAAAGCGUCCGUAGCUGGACUGUUAAGUCUCCUGGG
rnacentral:rRNA from 1 species